rnacentral:misc_RNA from 1 species
UAUAAGGUUUGUGCACAACUAACUAUUUUGUUACUUUUCACUUCUAAAUUGAUUUAAACAAGUUUAUUUAUGAUUUAUAAUUUUAUUGUGUUGAGGAUUUUAAUUUGUUGAAUGAAAUUGUAUAAAUUAAAUGUAAAUUUUCUUAUGCAUUUAAGGAUUUAUUGCAUGGUUUUGAGGAUUGUAAAUUUUAAGUUUGAUGUGUUGCUAACCUUGAGCAUGAAUUUAUGAUGGUUCAAUAUGUUAAUGGUUU